UGAGGAAUAUUGGUCAAUGGGCGCAAGCCUGAACCAGCCAUGCCGCGUGCAGGAAGACGGUCCUAUGGAUUGUAAACUGCUUUUAUUUGGGAAUAAACCUAUUUACGUGUAGAUAGCUGAAGGUACCAAAUGAAUAAGCACCGGCUAACUCCGUGCCAGCAGCCGCGGUAAUACGGAGGGUGCAAGCGUUAUCCGGAAUCAUUGGGUUUAAAGGGUCCGCAGGCGGAUUUAUAAGUCAGUGGUGAAAGCCUACAGCUCAACUGUAGAACUGCCAUUGAUACUGUAAGUCUUGAAUUCGGUCGAAGUGGGCGGAAUAUGACAUGUAGCGGUGAAAUGCUUAGAUAUGUCAUAGAACACCGAUAGCGAAGGCAGCUCACUAGGCCUGGAUUGACGCUCAGGG
rnacentral:rRNA from 1 species